AUGAGCUGGAGGAUUCCUCUAGAUGCGAAACACAGCAGCGGGACACCCUCUCAGGAGACACUUGUUGCAAAUAUCCCCACAGACGAUGUGUUCUACACAGCGAAGACUUUAUUUUCCAAAUAAAGAUGUGAUGUCUAGCAGGAAACCUGAAUCUGUGUGCAGGAGACUUUGUAGCAAGUCUCUACUGAUUUCCUCAGGAGAUGUCAGUCACACAGCCGAUCAAUCACAGUUGAGGAGACACCUUGCUCAAAUGGAAAAAGAAAAGAGAAAAUGAAA